UGACCAUCUUGCAACCCUACCUUUGUUCUG
rnacentral:piRNA from 1 species